AUUGAACGCUGGCGGCAGGCUUAACACAUGCAAGUCGAACGAGUGGCGGACGGGUGAGUAAUGCUUGGGAAUCUAGCCGAGGGAGGGGGAUAACUACGGGAAACUGUAGAUAAUACCGCGUACCAUAGGAUGAGCCCAAGUGGGAUGAGGUAGUUGGUGAGGUAAAGGCUCACCAAGCCGACGACCUCUAGCUGGUCUGAUAGGAUGACCAGCCACACUGGGACUGCAACACGGCCCAGACUCCUCCGCGUGGCAGCAGUGGGGAAUCGUGCCCACUGGGGGCAGCCUGACGCACCCAUGCCGCGUGUAUUAAGUAGGCCUUCGGGUUGUGAAGUUCUUUCGGUAGCUAGGCGUUAACUACAGAGUAAGCACCGGCUAACUCCGUGCCAGCAGCCGCGGUAAUUC
rnacentral:rRNA from 1 species